rnacentral:rRNA from 1 species
CCUACSGGAGGCARCASUGCGGAAUCCUACGSGAGGCAGCAGUGSGGAAUAUUGCACAAUGGGGGAAACCMUGAUGCACGCGACGCCGCGUGAGUGAAGAAGUAYUUCGGUAUGUAAAGCUCUAUCAGCAGGGACGAUAAUGACGGUACCUGAAUAAGAAGCCCCGGCUAACUACAGUG